UACGUAGGGGGCAAGCGUUGUCCGGAAUCAUUGGGCGUAAAGAGCGUGUAGGCGGCCCGAUAAGUCCGCUGUGAAAGUCCAGGGCUCAACCCUGGGAUGCCGGUGGAUACUGUCGGGCUCGAGUCCGGAAGAGGAGUGUGGAAUUCCUGGUGUAGCGGUGAAAUGCGCAGAUAUCAGGAGGAACACCAAUGGCGAAGGCAGCACUCUGGGACGUGACUGACGCUGAGACGCGAAAGCGUGGGUAGCGAACAGG
rnacentral:rRNA from 1 species